UUGAUCAAGAAGGAGAGUGUCUAGAGUAAUGGAUGUUGUAUUUGCCCAUGGAAAGCAUAAGUGGGCCAAAAAGAGAGUGGGUUUGCAAGUAUAUAAGCACACAUCCCCCUUGCUCCUUGUUCCACAUUGACAGAGACAAGAUAACUGAUCCCUAGAGCUAGCCUGGUAGCCAGAAAUGAAAAGCUCUGAAGGCCCCUUCUUAGUGAGCUGUGCAAAAAGAACCUUUAGUCAAAGGUAGUGUCAGAAGUCCCAUGGUCCCAGAGUCAGUUCUCACCCUCUUUUCUUUCCACCCUACUCCCAGGAUUCAGAAGUGAAGACUAGAUCAGAUAGAAGAGACUGAGUGUAUCCUGGCCAGUGGUUAUGGCCAGUGGUUAUGGAGGUGAUUCUGAUCUGA